UGCGUGAUGAAGAGGAGAUGAUACUUUGCUCGCGCAUCUGUAAAAAGAACCAGCGGUUUGUUAUGGUUGGUUCACUGCUGCCAUUUUUCUUCUUCAUUUUUAAGGAAAAUUGCAACCACUUACUGUUUAAUUGAAUUUUUAUAUACCACCGCCAUCUUGCUAAAACUGGCGCCAACGCUGCCCAAUCAACGCAUGAGGACGGUGAACGUAGCUAGCUCUCGUUAGCUCUGUGUCAUCCCCGCCCCUUCCGGUUCAACCGACGUCUAAAGGUUUAAGGAUGUCAGGACCCAAAACACACCAUCUGAGGCUCUUCAGAGAUUCAUUCAACAAAGAAAAAAACACAGAGGUCUCACUUCGAUGGAGAAACAAAAUCCAAUCUGGAGCGGCAAGGAAUGAAAGUCCAUCAACAAAGCAGGGCUUGACAGACUCAUGAGGGUCGUCAAUAAAAUAAAUGCAGCAAACUACAGGGAAACCCUGGAGGAAAAAUACCUGGAAGAAACCAAUGACCCACCCACCCACCCCCAACUUCAAAAUCAGAGCUACACGGAAGUACUUCCACACAGUGAGUGACCAAGUCAGAGUCCAGAUCUGGGAAAAGGAUGAUCACUCAUGGUCUCUAUGCAACCAGACAGCUGGAGCUGUUUGGCAAAGAAGAAUGGGGAAGAAGUGCAAAGCUGAUAGAGACCCCACCACAUGUUCAUCCCUGAUACACACAGACUGGAGACUCUGAAGGGGUUAAUCAGCUUUUAAUCUGUUAAUUGGACUAAAAAAAGCCACAGUAAAUCUACUUAAAUUCAAUCUUGUAAGACAACAGACUUCAAGGGGAUGAACACUUUUCAUCAUAACUGAAAUAUAAUGCAUCAUUAAAUUAAUGAAGACUAAA